GACGAACGCUGGCGGCGUGCUUAACACAUGCAAGUCGAACGAAGAGCGAUGGAAGCUUGCUUCUAUCAAUCUUAGUGGCGAACGGGUGAGUAACGCGUAAUCAACCUGCCCUUCAGAGGGGGACAACAGUUGGAAACGACUGCUAAUACCGCAUACGAUCUAAUCUCGGCAUCGAGGAUAGAUGAAAGGUGGCCUCUACAUGUAAGCUAUCACUGAAGGAGGGGAUUGCGUCUGAUUAGCUAGUUGGAGGGGUAACGGCCCACCAAGGCGAUGAUCAGUAGCCGGUCGGAGAGGAUGAACGGCCACAUUGGGACGGAGACACGGCCCAGACUCCUACGGGAGGCAGCAGUGGGGAAUCUUCCGCAAUGGACGAAAGUCUGACGGAGCAACGCCGCGUGAGUGAUGACGGCCUUCGGGUUGUAAAGCUCUGUUAAUCGGGACGAAAGGCCUUCUUGCGAAUAGGGAGAAGGAUUGACGGUACCGGAAGAGAAAGCCACGGCUAACUACGUG
rnacentral:rRNA from 1 species